rnacentral:rRNA from 1 species
CAGUAGUCAUAUGCUUGUCUCAAAGAUUAAGCCAUGCAUGUCUCAGUACAAGCCGCAUUAAGGUGAAACCGCGAAAGGCUCAUUAAAUCAGUUAUGGUUCCUUAGAUCGUACCCACACUUACUUGGAUAACUGUGGUAAUUCUAGAGCUAAUACAUGCAAACAGAGCUCCGACCGGAGACGGGAGGAGUGCUUUUAUUAGAUCAAAACCAAUCGGCGGCGGGCGCGUUCGCGCGUCCGUUCGCCGCUCAGACCUGGUGACUCUGAAUAACUUUCCGCUGAUCGCACGGUCUCGCACCGGCGACGCAUCUUUCAAAUGUCUGCCUUAUCAACUGUCGAUGGUAGGUUCUGCGCCUACCAUGGUCGUAACGGGUAACGGGGAAUCAGGGUUCGAUUCCGGAGAGGGAGCCUGAGAAACGGCUACCACAUCCAAGGAAGGCAGCAGGCGCGCAAAUUACCCACUCCCGGCACGGGGAGGUAGUGACGAAAAAUAACGAUACGGGACUCAUCCGAGGCCCCGUAAUCGGAAUGAGUACACUUUAAAUCCUUUAACGAGGACCAAUUGGAGGGCAAGUCUGGUGCCAGCAGCCGCGGUAAUUCCAGCUCCAAUAGCGUA